GAUGAACGCUAGCGGGAGGCUUAACACAUGCAAGUCGAGGGGCAGCAUAGAGUAGCAAUACUUUGAUGGCGACCGGCGCACGGGUGAGUAACGCGUAUGUAACCUACCUUGUACAGGGGGAUAGCCCGGAGAAAUUCGGAUUAAUACCCCAUAAUGAUAUUUGAAGGCAUCUUUAGAUAUUUAAAGUUUCGACGGUACGAGAUGGGCAUGCGUGACAUUAGCUAGUUGGUAAGGUAACGGCUUACCAAGGCUACGAUGUCUAGGGGUCCUGGGAGGGGAAUCCCCCACACUGGUACUGAGACACGGAACAGACUACUACGGGAGGCAGCAGUGAGGAAUAUUGGUCAAUGGGCGUAAGCCUGAACCAGCCAUCCCGCGUGAAGGAAGAAGGCGCUAUGCGUCGUAAACUUCUUUUCCGGAGGAAUAAAAUUUCGUACGUGUACGGGACUGAAGGUACUCCGGGAAUAAGCAUCGGCUAACUCCGUGCCAGCAGCCGCCGUAAUAC
rnacentral:rRNA from 1 species